rnacentral:rRNA from 1 species
GACGAACGCUGGCGGCGUGCUUAACACAUGCAAGUCGAACGCUGAAGCUUGGUGCUUGCACUGGGUGGAUGAGUGGCGAACGGGUGGGUAAUACGUGAGUAACCUGCCCUUGACUCUGGGAUAAGCCUGGGAAACUGGGUCUAAUACUGGAUACGACAUGUCACCGCAUGGUGGUGUGUGGAAAGGGUUUUACUGGUUUUGGAUGGGCUCACGGCCUAUCAGCUUGUUGGUGGGGUAAUGGCUCACCAAGGCGACGACGGGUAGCCGGCCUGAGAGGGUGACCGGCCACACUGGGACUGAGACACGGCCCAGACUCCUACGGGAGGCAGCAGUGGGGAAUAUUGCACAAUGGGCGGAAGCCUGAGGCAGCGACGCCGCGUGAGGGAUGACGGCCUUCGGGUUGUAAACCUCUUUCAGCACGGAAGAAGCGAAAGUGACGGUACGUGCAGAAGAAGCGCCGGCUAACUACGUG